rnacentral:rRNA from 1 species
UACGAAGGGGGCUAGCGUUGCUCGGAUUGACUGGGCGUAAAGGGCGCGUAGGCGGUUCGUACAGUCAGACGUGAAAUUCCUGGGCUCAACCUGGGGGCUGCGUUUGAUACGUGCGGACUUGAGUGCGGAAGAGGGUCGUGGAAUUCCCAGUGUAGAGGUGAAAUUCGUAGAUAUUGGGAAGAACACCGGUGGCGAAGGCGGCGACCUGGUCCGAUACUGACGCUGAGAUACGAAAGCGUGGGGAGCAAACAGG